ensembl:misc_RNA RNaseP_nuc Nuclear RNase P
GGAUAGAAAUUCAUAUUAUAUGGUCUUGCACAGUUGUUAAAUAUAGGUAAGAUUAGAAUUCCUAGUAGUAGUCAAGGCGUUGUAGAAAUGUGAUCAGUUUGAGAUUCAGAGUAUUCAUUUAAAAAACAAUUCAGUUGUUCAAAAGUGGCCCUAACUGGGUCCUUCCUGAGUUUUGGGGAGUUGAGUUCCCAGAGUAAAGGGCCUUGCACUGAGGGGAGAAUGGGCACUGCUCUUGGGAAGGUUCUGGCAGAUGCCUCCUUAGCUGAAGCUUGGAACAGACUCACAGGCAGCAAAGUGAGUUAGUUCAGUGGAUGAGGUGAGGUGACGUACCCUAACGUGGGGGACCUCAUAACCCAGUUCAGAUUACUUUCUUCCAUCC